rnacentral:misc_RNA from 1 species
GAUGAAGAACGCAUCGAAAUGCGAUAAGUAGUGUGAAUUGCAGAAUUCAGUGAAUCAUCGAAUCUUUGAACGCACAUUGCGCCCUUUGGUAUUCCAAAGGGCAUGCCUGUUCGAGCGUCAUUUGUACCCUCAAGCUUCGCUUGGUGUUGGGCGUCUUGUCUCUAGCUUUGCUGGAGACUCGCCUUAAAGUAAUUGGCAGCCGGCCUACUGGUUUCGGAGCGCAGCACAAGUCGCACUCUCUAUCAGCAAAGGUCUAGCAUCCAUUAAGCCUUUUUUUCAACUUUUGACCUCGGAUCAGGUAGGGAUACCCGCUGAACUUAAGCAUAUCAAUAAGCGGAGGA